UGGGGUUGUGGCUCAGUGGUCGAGCACUUGCCUCAUAUGUGGGAGGCACUGGGCUCGAUUCUCAGCACCACAA
rnacentral:tRNA from 1 species